UUCGAAAGGAACGCUAAUACCGCAUACGUCCUACGGGAGAAAGCAGGGACCUUCGGGCCUUGCGCUAUCAGAUGAGCCUAGGUCGGAUUAGCUAGUUGGUGAGGUAAUGGCUCACCAAGGCGACGAUCCGUAACUGGUCUGAGAGGAUGAUCAGUCACACUGGAACUGAGACACGGUCCAGACUCCUACGGGAGGCAGCAGC
rnacentral:rRNA from 1 species